AGGCAGACCGACCGCUGGGGAGAUGGACCUCACCUGGCACCAUUACUCUGGAUGUAACAGCUCGACUCUCCUGUCAAUUAAAACAUCAAUGACUCGAGAAGCGGACAGCGAGGUUUCUGGUGCCUGGCUGGAGACGAGAUUCUGAUUAUUCAAGAGCCAAAACAAAACGUCAGAAUAAAUAGUUAGAAGGCAGAUUUGUUUUCUAUUUGUUAUUGUUUUCAUUAUUAAUGCUCCAUAACACAAAAUUCAUCAGUGCUGUAACUCUUGAGUUGAAUAAAAUGUUCUUCUUUCAA